rnacentral:rRNA from 1 species
CCUGGCUCAGGACGAACGCUGGCGGCGCGCCUAACACAUGCAAGUCGAACGAGAGAUGAGGAGCUUGCUCUUCAAAUCGAGUGGCGAACGGGUGAGUAACGCGUGAGGAACCUGCCUCAAGGAGGGGGACAACAGUUGGAAACGACUGCUAAUACCGCAUAAGCCCACGGCUCGGCAUCGAGCAGAGGGAAAAGGAGCAAUCCGCUUUGAGAUGGCCUCGCGUCCGAUUAGCUGGUUGGUGAGGUAACGGCCCACCAAGGCGACGAUCGGUAGCCGGACUGAGAGGUUGAACGGCCACAUUGGGACUGAGACACGGCCCAGACUCCUACGGGAGGCAGCAGUGGGGAAUAUUGCACAAUGGGGGAAACCCUGAUGCAGCGACGCCGCGUGGAGGAAGAAGGUCUUCGGAUUGUAAACUCCUGUUGUUGAGGAAGAUAAUGACGGUACUCAACAAGGAAGUGACGGCUAACUACGUGCCAGCAGCCGCGGUAAAACGUAGGUCACAAGCGUUGUCCGGAAUUACUGGGUGUAAAGGGAGCGCAGGCGGGAGAACAAGUUGGAAGUGAAAUCCAUGGGCUCAACCCAUGAACUGCUUUCAAAACUGUUUUUCUUGAGUAGUGCAGAGGUAGGCGGAAUUCCCGGUGUAGCGGUGGAAUGCGUAGAUAUCGGGAGGAACACCAGUGGCGAAGGCGGCCUACUGGGCACCAACUGACGCUGAGGCUCGAAAGUGUGGGUAGCAAACAGGAUUAGAUACCCUGGUAGUCCACACCGUAAACGAUGAUUACUAGGUGUUGGAGGAUUGACCCCUUCAGUGCCGCAGUUAACACAAUAAGUAAUCCACCUGGGGAGUACGACCGCAAGGUUGAAACUCAAAGGAAUUGACGGGGGCCCGCACAAGCAGUGGAGUAUGUGGUUUAAUUCGACGCAACGCGAAGAACCUUACCAAGUCUUGACAUCCCUUGACGAACAUAGAAAUAUGUUUUCUCUUCGGAGCAAGGAGACAGGUGGUGCAUGGUUGUCGUCAGCUCGUGUCGUGAGAUGUUGGGUUAAGUCCCGCAACGAGCGCAACCCUUAUGGUCAGUUACUACGCAAGAGGACUCUGGCCAGACUGCCGUUGACAAAACGGAGGAAGGUGGGGAUGACGUCAAAUCAUCAUGCCCUUUAUGACUUGGGCUACACACGUACUACAAUGGCGUUAAACAAAGAGAAGCAAGACCGCGAGGUGGAGCAAAACUCAGAAACAACGUCCCAGUUCGGACUGCAGGCUGCAACUCGCCUGCACGAAGUCGGAAUUGCUAGUAAUCGUGGAUCAGCAUGCCACGGUGAAUACGUUCCCGGGCCUUGCACACACCGCCC